rnacentral:rRNA from 1 species
GCGAACCGGGGGAACUGAAACAUCUAAGUACCCCGAGGAAAAGAAAUCAACCGAGAUUCCCCCAGUAGCGGCGAGCGAACGGGGAGGAGCCCAGAGCCUGAAUCAGCAUGUGUGUUAGUGGAAGCGUCUGGAAAGGCGCGCGAUACAGGGUGACAGCCCCGUACACAAAAGCGCAUAUGCUGUGAGCUCGAUGAGUAGGGCGGGACACGUGGUAUCCUGUCUGAAUAUGGGGGGACCAUCCUCCAAGGCUAAAUACUCCUGACUGACCGAUAGUGAACCAGUACCGUGAGGGAAAGGCGAAAAGAACCCCGGCGAGGGGAGUGAAAAAGAACCUGAAACCGUGUACGUACAAGCAGUGGGAGCACAGGUUUACCUGUGUGACUGCGUACCUUUU